rnacentral:rRNA from 1 species
CUUGCUUUCUUUGCUGGCGACCGGCGCACGGGUAAGUAACACGUAUCCAACCUGCCCUUUACUCGGGGAUAGCCUUUCGAAAGAAAGAUUAAUACCCGAUAGCAUAAUGAUUCCGCAUGGUUUCAUUAUUAAAGGAUUCCGGUAAAGGAUGGGGAUGCGUUCCAUUAGGUUGUUGGUGGGGUAACGGCCCACCUAGUCUUCGAUGGAUAGGGGUUCUGAGAGGAAGGUCCCCCACAUUGGAACUGAGACACGGUCCAA